rnacentral:rRNA from 1 species
GACGAACGCUGGCGGCGUGCUUAACACAUGCCAGUCGAACGGAAAGGCCCUGCUUUUGUGGGGUGCUCGAGUGGCGAACGGGUGAGUAACACGUGAGUAACCUGCCCUUGACUUUGGGAUAACUUCAGGAAACUGGGGCUAAUACCGGAUAGGAGCUCCUGCUGCAUGGUGGGGGUUGGAAAGUUUCGGCGGUUGGGGAUGGACUCGCGGCUUAUCAGCUUGUUGGUGGGGUAGUGGCUUACCAAGGCUUUGACGGGUAGCCGGCCUGAGAGGGUGACCGGCGAGAUGGGGAAUAAGAUACGGCCCGGACGGCAACGGGAGGCAGCAGUGGGGAAUAUGGCACAAUGGGCGGAAGCUUGAUGCAGCAACGCCGCGUGCGGGAUGACGGCCUGCGGGUUGUAAACCGCGAUCGCCUGUGACGAAGCGUGAGUGACGGUAAUGGGUAAAGAAGCAACGGCUAACUACGUG